rnacentral:rRNA from 1 species
CCUAACACAUGCAAGUCGAGCGAGGAAUUUCCUUCGGGAAAUUCCUAGCGGCGGACGGGUGAGUAACACGUGGGUAACCUGCCUCAUAGAGGGAGAUAGCCCUCCGAAAGGAGGAUUAAUACCGCAUAAUGUUGUUGAAUCGCAUGAUUCGAUAACCAAAGGAGCAAUCCGCUAUGAGAUGGACCCGCGGCGCAUUAGCUAGUUGGUGAGGUAAUGGCUCACCAAGGCGACGAUGCGUAGCCGACCUGAGAGGGUGAUCGGCCACAUUGGGACUGAGACACGGCCCAGACUCCUACGGGAGGCAGCAGUGGGGAAUAUUGCACAAUGGGGGAAACCCUGAUGCAGCAACGCCGCGUGAGUGAUGAAGGCCUUCGGGUUGUAAAGCUCUGUCUUCAGGGACGAUAAUGACGGUACCUGAGGAGGAAGCC